UACUGCAUUGUAAACAAACGACUAUAUCGAAAAACUUCAGAAGGCAAAAGGUGAGUUGCUCUAAGGCAAGCCCGCAGGCAGGUUGUUUUGCAUUAUCAUGAUGGAACUGGUCACAUGUCAGUAGAAAAGACUAUUUCGGCAAUAUCUCAAUUAUACUGGUUCUCAGGUAUGAUAAAAUAUGUUAAGAAAUACAUUGGAGGUUGUCUAGAAGGCUUAUAUAAUAAGGAACCUGGUGAAAAGCAAAAACCUGGACUUGUGCAUUAUAUUGAGAAGGUUGCAGUACCUUUUGAUACACUGCAUAUAGAUCAUCUAGGUCCAUUUGUAAAGUCAAAACGAAGGAACUCUUAUCUCAUUGUCAUCGUCGAUGCUUUCACUAAGUUCUUUUUUUAUGAAGGCUGUGCAGUCCACCAAAGUUACCCCGGUGAUUACUUUUUUGAAAAGUGCAAUUGAAAUCUUUGGUGUAGCAAGAAGAAUAAUUAGCGAUGGAGGUUUUUGCUAUACUUCCCAACGAUUCAAGGAUUAUUGUACAUCACUUAAUAUAAAACAUGUUCUGAAUUCCACUGCUGCUCCUAAAGUAAACGGACAAGUGGAAAGGUAUAAUUGUACAAUAGUAGCUUCUUUAUCAUCCUGCAGUGAAGACGAGAUUACUUGAGAUGAAUUGGUUCCAAAUUGGGGAUUGAAUUCAACGAAGAAUUCAACCACAAAAAAAACGCCCUACGAAGUAAUGUUGGGUUACCAAUCAAGAGGUAUAGCCGAUGCUGUUCUGGCCAACGAAGUGUCAUUACAGGAGGCAGACCGGGGCGAUCUAUCGAAAAUAUGUGCGGACGUCAAACGAAUGACUGAUGCAAACCUGGUCAAAUAAAAGCAAACAUUUGACAAAGUGAUUGAAUUCAACGAAGAAUUCAAGCGGACGUCAAACGAAUGACUGAUCCAAACCAGGUCAAAUAAAAGCAAACAUUUGACAAAGUGAUUGAAUUCAACGAAGAAUUCAAGCGGACGUCAAACGAAUGACUGAUGCAAACCAGGUCAAAUAAAAGCAAAUAUUUGACAAAGUGAUUGAAUUCAACGAAGAAUUCAAGCGGACGUCAAACGAAUGACUGAUCCAAACCAGGUCAAAUAAAAGCAAACAUUUGACAAAGUGAUUGAAUUCAACGAAGAAUUCAAGCGGACGUCAAACGAAUGACUGAUGCAAACCAGGUCAAAUAAAAGCAAAUAUUUGACAAAGUGAUUGAAUUCAACGAAGAAUUCAAGCGGACGUCAAACGAAUGACUGAUGCAAACCAGGUCAAAUAAAAGCAAACAUUUGACAAAGUGAUUGAAUUCAACGAAGAAUUCAAGAGGACGUCAAACGAAUGACUCCCUAAUUACCUGAUCCUUAUAUCAUUAAAAAGGGGUUUAGAUCAUGAUCGUUACGUAAUCGAGGAUCCUCAAGGUUCCGUGAGAUCUCAAAAGAAAAAUGAAGGUGUGUCAUCCAACGAUAAGAUGAAACCUUUCAAUACUGACGUCAGUUCUGAAUCCAAAGGGGAUUUGGAUCCUAACGAAACGGAUCUCCAAGAUAACGAGCGAUCCACAAUUAUUGUG
rnacentral:lncRNA from 1 species